GAGCGUUCCGCGUCUCCCUUCUCGUUGGAUUUGGAUCGAGCGACGCCACCGAGGAGUGAUCUUAGAGGUUUCAACCUUCGACUCCGAUCAAUUGGGGUUGCACGGAGCUGUGUCUGGUGUUGUGCUUUGGUCCAGCGACUCAUCUGGUUGCUAGUGGAAAUGAUCUUGGCAAAGGAUCAACAGAAGGGGGGCUGUGAGGAAGAGGAGGUUGGAUUGAAGGGGGCAGCAUGUUUACUAGGGUUUCGGUCAGGAGUUUCCAGCAGCCUACAAUUCCAGCUCUUCAACUGUGGGUCAACAAAAUUUCAUCCGGUUUUAGGAUUUUGAUUCGAGGCAAGCAUCUCGACGUGGGGGCUAUAUUUGGCACGAUCUAUAUCUAAGG